UGGCUAACUCCUACGGGAGGCAGCAGUGGGGAAUCUUGCGCAAUGGGCGAAAGCCUGACGCAGCAACGCCGCGUGGGGGAUGACGGCCUUCGGGUUGUAAACCUCUUUCGCGAUCGACGAAGCUCGUACUUCUGGUACGGGUGACGGUAGGUCGAGAAGAAGCACCGGCCAACUACGUGCCAGCAGCCGCGGUAAUACGUAGGGUGCGAGCGUUGUCCGGAAUUAUUGGGCGUAAAGAGCUCGUAGGCGGUGUGUCACGUCGGCCGUGAAAACCUGGGGCUCAACUCUGGGCGUGCGGUCGAUACGGGCAUCACUUGAGUUCGGCAGGGGAGACUGGAAUUCCUGGUGUAGCGGUGAAAUGCGCAGAUAUCAGGAGGAACACCGGUGGCGAAGGCGGGUCUCUGGGCCGAUACUGACGCUGAGGAGCGAAGGCAUGGGUAGCGAACAGGAUUAGAUACCCGGGUAGUCCAGCUGG
rnacentral:rRNA from 1 species